GAUGAACGCUGGCGGCGUGCUUAACACAUGCAAGUCGAACGAAGCGCUUUGGAAGCUUGCUUUCAAAGUGACUGAGUGGCGGACGGGUGAGUAACGCGUGGGUAACCUGCCUUAUACAGGGGGAUAACAGUUGGAAACGACUGCUAAUACCGCAUAAGCGCACAGUGCUGCAUGGCACAGUGUGAAAAACUCCGGUGGUAUAAGAUGGACCCGCGUCUGAUUAGCUAGUUGGUGAGGUAACGGCUCACCAAGGCGACGAUCAGUAGCCGGCUUGAGAGAGUGAUCGGCCACAUUGGGACUGAGACACGGCCCAAACUCCUACGGGAGGCAGCAGUGGGGAAUAUUUGGCAAUGAGCGAAAGCUUGACCAAGCAAUACCGCGUGGAGGAUGAAGGCCUUUGGGUUGUAAUCUCCUUUUCUCAUUGACGAAAUACUGACGGUAUUUGAGGAAUAAGCAUCGGCUAAUUCUGUGCCAGCCGCCGCUGUAAGAC
rnacentral:rRNA from 1 species